CAGGUAGGAAUACCCGCUGAACUUAAGCAUACAA
rnacentral:rRNA from 1 species